CAUAUAGUAACUUCUGACGCCUUGGGAUAGAAACAAUGAAAAUAAUGGCAUUAAGGGAGAGAAAAUAUAAAAUGAAUUCUAGUUGGUGAAAGAAAUACCUCUUUGGUUCCAAAAUAUUUAAACUCUGAGCAAGCUGUGUGUAUUGUGGAAUUUAUUGGGUUAGCAGUGACACCUUUCAAAAUUAGGAAGAACACUUUGUGUUCCUGAGUAUAGAAGGCUGGCAUAAUUACUGAAAGUACAGUAAAUGUCCCUAUCAUUCUUUGAGUCUAAUCUUAACAUAAUUAGCUCCUUGCACAAUAGAGUAUUUAAUUUGAAAUGCUGCCAAGGCUUAUUAAGUGAGAGAAGUACUUCCUGAGAUCUCUGUUGUUAAAUGUGGGACUUUUCUGUAUGAGAUAAUUUUCACCAAAAGUGUCAGGGUAUCAGAAUUGUUGCUCAUAGUCUGGCAUUUAUCACCCAAACUCACUGAAACACUUAACAUUUUCAGUUUUAUUGAUGGAGCCUUUUAUGAAUAUUGGGGAAUAUGCUGCAUCUCGUGGAAAGAAAUUAAUUUGGGGAGACCUGACAAGCCUUCCGAAUGAUAGAUCCCUUUGCCCUGGGGAGCCUUCUUCAUUCAGUGACUUGGGUAAUAAACAUGAGCUAUAGGAUUUCAUUCUUUUAUCUCUUGUUUUUGGUUUUCUUUAGUGGUUGAUUGUCAAGUCAGGCUAGAAAAUAUAACAUGUGAACACCGGUUUUGUUUGAUAACGCAUUUCUUUUUUGAAUGUGACUUGACACUUUCCUGGGCUUGUAAAACACCAUGGAAUGCUACUACAGUUGUGACAUUGGAGUGUAGGAUAUUGUAAUAUGCUUUACAGUUUGUAGAUGGAUCAAGUGACAUGGUUUAACCAGUAAUGCCUGAUAUUUCUAUAAGAUCACCAACCUGUCUAUAUCAGAAUUCCUGGAUCUUUUCAACUAUUGCCAUAUAGGGAUAGAAAGAAAGUCUAAUCAAGGGUAUAAAAAACAGAAAAGUAGCCAUCAUUAAGAACCACCAUAGGUUCACCGUGAGUUUAAGCCUGUGGAAUUUACCUCAUUUCCUUUUUGAUAAGAAAUAUACCAAAGUUCUAAAAAUUCCUUCCAAAAAUAAUUGGGAAGUGUGAGCUCUAGGGCGAUAAAGCUGUUUACUUUACAUAAUGAUCAGACAAUUAGAACAUUGAUUAAUAAGGCAAUAAAAAACCUUGAGGGACAACUUUCUUUGUAGGCUCCUAGGCUGUUUAUCUCUGUGUCCUCAGGUUCAGCGCAAAUUGGAAUACUAGUACAAAUUUGAAGCCUUCUGAUAUGAGAACAUGGGAUGGCUUUCCAUUUACUUAGGUCUUUAAUUUCUUUUCGUGAUUUCUUUGUAGUGUUCAUUUUCAGUAUGCAAGUUUUAUACUUCUUUUGCAAAAUUUGUUUUGAAGGACUUUAUUGUUUUUGAUGAUCUUAAUUUACUUUUUGGACUGUUCAUUGCUAGUGUAUAGAAAAACCACUGAGUUUUAUAUAUUGAUCCUAUAUCCUGCAAACUUACUGAAUUUAUUUAUUAGCCUUAAUCAUCUUUUAGUGGGUUUUUUUUUUUUUUAAGGCCUUUCUGUGUACAAGGUCAUAUCUUACAUGACUUGAGAUAGUAUUCCUUUAUCAUUUCUGAUCCAGAUGCCUUUUAUUUCUUUUUCUUGCCUAAUUGCCUUGGCUAGAACCUCCACUAUGGCUAGAUCCUCCAGUAUGGUGAUGAAUACCAGUGAUGAGAUUGGACAUCCUUGGCUUCUUUAGGCAUUGUAAGGUGAGAUUUAUCCUUCUCAGACCAUGUAUAUAAUCUUAUGUGAUGUUUUUAACAUUCUUUACAUUAUAAUGAAACAAACUGAAAUUAACUUAUAGGUGAGGCUGUGGAAGAUUGAACUGGAGGUUGUUUCCACUGCAGCACGCAGCUUUUUACUGGACUUGGUUUGUUUUACAUUCACAUGAAAAUUUGACCCGUUGAUGAUUCUAGUGACACUUCCUUUUCUAUACAUCUUCACUCUAUUAUAGUGAAGCUUCAUAUUCUCUGGCUCUAUUAGUAGAAUGGUCACAUCAGGCAAACUAAUCAGGAUUUUAAAAUUCAUUUAGUCACCAAAUAUUUCUCGAGUGCUUACCAAAUACCAGACGUGACUGAUGUUCUAGAGAAAUAGUAGUUCAUAAGAAACUUAGAGGAUAGUUAUUAGAGGCAGACAAGUUAACAAUUCAAUUGAUAAAUAUAUUUUUUAAAAAAACCUUUUAGACUAUUUAUCUCCUCCAUACCACCUUUUCUAGAAUUCUUCUUUUCAGAUGCAUUCAGAAAAGAGAAGAUCUAAAACCAUGUAAUACGAGGGAGUUCCCGUUGUGGCACAGUGGUUAACGAAUCCGACUAGGAACCAUGAGGUUGUGGGUUUGAUCCUCGGCCUUGCUUCAUGGGUUAAGGAUCCAGUGUUGCCGUGAGCUGUGGUGUAGGUUCCAGACGUGGCUCAGAUCCUGCGUUGCUGUGGCUCUGGCGUAGGCCGGUGACUACAGCUCCAAUUCGACCCCUAGCCUGGGAACCUCCAUAUGCUGUGGGAGUGGCCCUAGAAAAGGCAACAAGACAAAAUAAAUAAAUAAAUGAAAUAAAAUAAAACCACGUAAUACAAGGAAAAGCUUAAAGAGUCAGAGUGAUUGCAUGAUAUUUAGCCAAGAAUCUUGGAUGUGGAUGGGGAAAGAAGGACAUUACCUGACAGUGGUUGCAAAUAUUUGUCCUCUGGACACAGUAACGUAUUGAGAUGGAAGUUAGAAAUUUUAGUCUCUUUAAACCAGGAGAUUUCUACUAGGUCAAUGUCUUUUUUAUUGCAACAGGUUAGACUGGGUAGCCACUGGCCUCUUAAGACAUAGCAUGCAUCUUUUUUUCUCACAGUCCCAACCACUCCCUGUCAUCUCCUUUUGGCCUGUUUCACUCAUUUAUUACCUUCUUAACAUCCUUAUCAUAUCAUUUAUGUCCUUGUCAUGUUGUUUUUUAAGGGGAUUUUUCUAGCUGUUUGAGUGGUCCAUGAACAGAGUAAGGAGGAAGUUAGUGAUAGUAAAAGUGAUAGCUCCUUUCUUUAAUGGAAAGUUCAGUUAUCAUUUUUUCUUGAGAAUAUAGAGUUGACUAGAUGUAGUAUUUUUAGGUACAGAGCAUUCCACUCAAAUACUUUCCCACACCCCCUCCCCCAUAGACAUGAAGAGAAAAUCUUAGUCCAGAUCUGUAUCCUCUUGACGUCCUUUUCAUCUCCUUAGUUGUCUUCUGAUGGACCUCUUAAGGACCGUGGACAUUGUUGGAAAGUCAGUGGCUCUGAUUAUCGUUGGAGGUCUGCGUUCCUGUGCAAUAGUGUUUCUCAACGUCGGACCUAUUGAUAUUUGGGGCCAUGUAAUUCACGAUUGGGGGUGGGGGGCUGUCCUCUGUAUUGUAGGAUGUUUAGAGGCAUUGCUGGCUUCAAGUCACUAGACGCCAGUAUCACUUCCCUCCCCAAGUCAUGAUAUAACCUAAAUAUUUCUAUCCCUUGCUGAUGUCUCAGGGUAGGGGGUAGGGGAUGCCAAAAUUGGCUCUGGUUGAGAACCCCUAGGUUUACCUUAGUUUAGUUACAUCUUUCAGUCUUCAUUCAAUACAUAUCCAAGAGCAUUUACCAGUUUUAAGCAAUGAAGUCUCAACUUUAGGGACCAACUUAUUGACUCCUCUGAUUUACAUGUCAAACAGAUUCGAGUCAUACCCUUCUCAUAGGACUCAUGAAAGUAAAUAAAGACAAAGUACAUAGUGAAGAGCUUAGAGACAGGGUAUAAACACUGUACUAGAUUAUUUAGGUUGUUGGUGUUUAUUUCUGAAAUUUUUGGGGGGUGUGUUCAUGUAAGUGGUUUCUGAACAUUCCUGUAACUGCUUUGAAAGAAGUAUUUAUUUCAGAAUUUUAAUCACCUUUCCUGGCACCCACAUCUAUGAAGUGUAUUAUAAUCUCCUACCCCCACCCCUAGUCACCGAACAUAUAACAACAGGCACAUAUAACAGAACUGCUGCUUUACCCCUGAAGUCUCUUUCUGGGAGGAAGAGCUUUGUGGAUGGGAAAUUCCAACACUUGAUUUACCCUCAGGUACACGGCAAGUACUGACAAUGUACCUCCUUCUCAAUAAAGUACACGCCAGAUCUUUCAUUUCCUGAGAACAUAAGCUGGGAACAAUUUUCCGAAUGGAAAAUUUGUUUGGCAUUUUGAAACAUAAUUAAAGAGCAUCUGGGUAACUCAAAAAUUGUGGGUCAGUCAACUGCAUGCAUUGUUUCCACAGUGCCAGUGACUGACUGGAAAGCUGUUUCCCCUGAACUUAAUGACUUACUCAGAUGGAUUUGCUUUCUGAAAGACUAGGUUUGUUAAAAUCAGUUUAUAUCCUUUGGGAGGCCAAAAUGUCCCAGAAAUGGUACUGUCCUGAUACGACAUACUUUGAAAUUACAUUAAUGCACUUACUAUGGAGUUAGCUCUAAUUGCAUUAGAUGGAUGAGUCAAGGCUCUCAGAUAUGAGGGUUUGGCUUGCCUCAGUCUUGGUGACACAAUUAGCAUGAAGUCUAAAGGCUUUCCAGCUCUAUGCCAUUUCUUUCAUCUGUAUUUUUCCAAAAAAGUUUAGAAGUCCCACACCUCCCCACGAGUGUCAAUUCCUAAGUUGUAGAAUCAUGUAUCUAAAUACACUUCAGCUCACACUGGCUGACAUCUUCAUUUUUAGAGUAGUCUUCUCUGAAUGCAGGGCACCCCAGAUUUCCCUCUGUUGGAAUCCCUGUUACACUGUUGUAAUCACCUCUUCACUUGUUUGUCUUUCCCUCAGUGGCUGGGAAUAGUUAUUUUUGUUUAUUGCUGGAUCAUGCAUGUCCCAAAGAAACUGGACUUAAAGGAGAUGUUUGCUGACUACAGGAUUGGCCCAGUCUUUCUGGUUCUUCCUCCAAAAUCUCUUUCAGUGCUUCGCCUUCAUUUUCCAUUUCUUCUGACCCAUCUUAGGCUUCUGCCUUCAUGACUGGGCAAUUCCAGUAGCUGCUUGAUAGUCACCCUGAAGCCAGUCUUCCUCUUAGCAAGUAGAGCUCACUUCAUAAUCUUCACUGUUCUGAACUUCUCAUGUAGGCUGCUGAUAUCCACAGGAGGUCACCAGCAGUUGAAUUCCUUGGCAGUUCAUUUGGAAGAGGGUUUUGAGGCUGGACCAUUAGGUUGUAUCGUUCUUAAGGACUAAAAUUGUUUUUUUUUAAAUUACCACUUUAGGGAGUUCCUGUCAUGGCUCAGUGAUUAACGAAUCCGACUAGGAGCCUUGAGGUUGCGGUUCGAUCCCUGGCCUUGCUCACUGGGUUAAGGAUCCGGAGUUGCCAUGAGCUCUGGUGUAGGUCGCAGAUGCAGCUCGGAUCCCGCGUUGCUGUGGGUCUGGUGUAGGCCAGUGGCUACGGCUCCAAUUCGACCCCUAGCCUGGGAACCUCCAUAUGCCACAGGAGCAGCCCAAGAAAU
rnacentral:lncRNA from 1 species